UGACCUCGGAUCAGGUAGGAAUACCCGCUGAACUUAAGCAUAUCAAUAAGCGGAGGAAAAGAAACCAACAGGGAUUGCCUUAGUAACGGCGAGUGAAGCGGCAACAGCUCAAAUUUGAAAUCUGGCCCCCAGGCCCGAGUUGUAAUUUGUAGAGGAUGCUUCUGGCGACGCGCCUUCCGAGUUCCCUGGAACGGGACGCCAUAGAGGGUGAGAGCCCCGUACGGUCGUGCGCCUAGCCUCUGUGUAGCUCCUUCGACGAGUCGAGUAGUUUGGGAAUGCUGCUCUAAAUGGGAGGUAUACGUCUUCUAAAGCUAAAUACCGGCCAGAGACCGAUAGCGCACAAGUAGAGUGAUCGAAAGAUGAAAAGCACUUUGAAAAGAGGGUUAAAUAGUACGUGAAAUUGCUGAAAGGGAAGCGCUUAUGACCAGACUUGGGCUUGGUGAAUCAUCCGGCGUUCUCGCCGGUGCACUUUGCCUGUCCAGGCCAGCAUCAGUUCGUCCCGGGGGAUAAAGGCUUCGGGAAUGUAGCUCUUUCGGGAGUGUUAUAGACCGUUGCGUAAUACCCUGGGGUGGACUGAGGUACGCGUUCUGCAAGGAUGCUGGCGUAAUGGUCAUCAGUGACCCGUCUUGAACAACGGACCAA
rnacentral:rRNA from 1 species